rnacentral:rRNA from 1 species
AUGAACGCUGGCGGCGUGCCUAAUACAUGCAAGUCGAGCGAACAGAUAAGGAGCUUGCUCCUUUGACGUUAGCGGCGGACGGGUGAGUAACACGUGGGUAACCUACCUAUAAGACUGGGAUAACUUCGGGAAACCGGAGCUAAUACCGGAUAAUAUUUCGAACCGCAUGGUUCGAUAGUGAAAGAUGGUUUUGCUAUCACUUAUAGAUGGACCCGCGCCGUAUUAGCUAGUUGGUAAGGUAACGGCUUACCAAGGCGACGAUACGUAGCCGACCUGAGAGGGUGAUCGGUCACACUGGAACUGAGACACGGUCCAGACUCCUACGGGAGGCAGCAGUAGGGAAUCUUCCGCAAUGGGCGAAAGCCUGACGGAGCAACGCCGCGUGAGUGAUGAAGGUCUUCGGAUCGUAAAACUCUGUUAUUAGGGAAGAACAUACGUGUAAGUAACUGUGCACGUCUUGACGGUACCUAAUCAGAAAGCCACGGCUAACUACGUG